rnacentral:misc_RNA from 1 species
UACGGAGGGAGCUAGCGUUGUUCGGAAUUACUGGGCGUAAAGCGCGCGUAGGCGGCUUUGUAAGUUGGAGGUGAAAGCCAGGGGCUCAACUCCGGCACUGCCUUUAAGACUGCAUCGCUAGAAUCCGGGAGAGGUGAGUGGAAUUCCGUGUGUAGAGGUGAAAUUCGUAGAUAUUCGGAAGAACACCAGUGGCGAAGGCGGCUCACUGGACCGGUAUUGACGCUGAGGUGCGAAAGCGUGGGGUGCAAACAGG